rnacentral:rRNA from 1 species
UACGGAGGGGGCUAGCGUUGUUCGGAAUUACUGGGCGUAAAGCGCACGUAGGCGGAUUGCUAAGUCAGGGGUGAAAUCCUGGAGCUCAACUCCAGAACUGCCUUUGAUACUGGCGACCUUGAGUCCGGGAGAGGUGAGUGGAACUGCGAGUGUAGAGGUGAAAUUCGUAGAUAUUCGCAAGAACACCAGUGGCGAAGGCGGCGACCUGGUUCAUUACUGACGCUGAGACGCGAAAGCGUGGGGAGCAAACAGG